rnacentral:rRNA from 1 species
UACGGGGGGGGCAAGCGUUGUUCGGAAUUACUGGGCGUAAAGGGCUCGUAGGUGGCCAACUAAGUCAGACGUGAAAUCCCUCAGCUUAACUGGGGAACUGCGUCUGAUACUGGAUGGCUUGGAUUUGGGAGAGGAAUGCGGAAUUCCAGGUGUAGCGGUGAAAUGCGUAGAUAUCUGGAGGAACACCGGUGGCGAAGGCGGCAUCCUGGACCGGCAUUGACGCUGAGGCGCGAAAGCCAGGGGAGCAAACGGG